AUCCUUUCCCUCUCUUUUUUUCCCAAACCCCUUUCUCAUUUUCAGCUACCCUUCUCUCUCCCCUCGCUUCAUUUUCAGAAACCCUCGCCCACUCUAACCAAAUCCUUAACAGACCUACCAGACAAGGGAUGAAAAUGAGCAGCCCACUCUAACACAAAAUCUUUAAUUGGAUAAAGUAGCAGAAAUUUGGUAGAAUCGGUGUAUUUUGAAGAAGGAUAUAACAUUCUUUGUUGAAAUCGAGAUAACUCCUGGGGACCUUCAAAGAAGACGCAAUUGUCACUGGCUGCUUUUCCUCUUUCUGCUCUGAGUUGUGUUUGAAUCAGUCUCAAGAUUCACAAGGAGCUAGCAAGAUACUUAAAGUGAAGAAAAGGGACGUGUUAAAUUUAUCUAAUGGAGAACGUAUUGUGGUUGAUUUUGACGACACGGAUUCUCCCAUUGGUGAAGGACAAGGCAUUCUUGCAGGCUUUUGUCGAAUUUUAGCAACUGACUGCUCCAUUUUUUCAAUUCACUUUGAGAUAAUGGAUAGCGUUUCACUGGAAAUUCCACCGGAUCAAUGAAUUUCUUAUGUUGAUUAACGCUUUAAAGAAAAGACACAAGUAUUUAUUUCAAUGCUUCAAUUAGUUUGUGUAAUUAUAUAUUUGUUUGUA